UUACGGCCAUAUAACGUGGAGACAUCGGUUCCAGUACGAUCACCGAGGUUAAGCAACGUUGAAACUGAUCAGUACCUAGAUGGGUGACCGUGUGGGUGUAGCAGGUGCUGUAAG